AGAUAUCUUGAUAUCAGUGGAUGCCAAGAGGUAACCAGUACAGGAAUCCAUGCAUUGGCAAGAAGCUGCCACCAGCUCAAGUGCCUGGACCUAAGCUCUACAGGAAUAAGCAAAAGAUGGUUUUUUCAUUGGCUAAUUAUUGUCACAUUUGUUUGGAAUGUGUGAAACUCAGUUUCUGCAAAAAUGUCACUCUGGAUGUGAUUUAAAAACUCUGUGAAAACUUCAGACGGUUGAGACAAGAACUGAGAAAAUUUAUUUGGAUUUGAGGAUCUGAAAGAGCUAUGCGAUUCCUAAUGCGCAUUAACCUGUUGGACAGCCAUGCAUUAAAGAAAGCCAGAAAAAUCAGGAAGUGGAAUUUUCCGGUAAAUCUCGUGCUUUGGUUUGUGAAAACAACUUGUACACACAGAAGUUCACCAAUUUUCCGGAAUCAGAAAAGAAUAAAAUACACAGAACGUGGAAUCCUACCACUGCCUUCCUUUCCACUUUCUGUAAAGUUACCGCCGCACGCU